rnacentral:tRNA from 1 species
CUGCCUGUAGCUCAACCGAAUAGAGCAACGAUCUUCUAAGUCGUGAGUUGUGGGUUUGAAUCCCUCCAGGCGGGCCA